rnacentral:rRNA from 1 species
AGAGUUUGAUCAUGGCUCAGAAUGAACGCUGGCGGCGUGCCUAACACAUGCAAGUCGAACGAGAAAGGUAGCAAUACUAAGUACAGUGGCGCACGGGUGAGAAACGCGUGAGAAUCUCCCUUUAAGUGAAGAAUACCUUGGAGAAAUCCAAGUUAAUACUGCAUAAGCCCGCAAGGGGAAAGGUGGCCUCAAGCUACCGCUUAAAGAUGAGCUUGCGUCCUAUUAGCUAGUUGGUAGGGUAAAAGCCUACCAAGGCAAAAAUGGGUAGCCGACCUGAGAGGGUGAUCGGCCACACUGGAACUGAGACACGGUCCAGACUCCUACGGGAGGCAGCAGUGGGGAAUAUUGCACAAUGGGCGAAAGCCUGAUGCAGCGACGCCGCGUGGAGGAUGAAGGUUUUCGGAUUGUAAACUCCUGUUAAGUGGGAAGAAAGACGCAUACCUAAUACGUAUGCGGGAUGACGGUACCACUAGAGAAAGCACCGGCAAACUUCGUGCCAGCAGCCGCGGUAAUACGAAGGGUGCGAGCGUUAUUCGGAAUGACUGGGCGUAAAGAGCGUGGAGGCGGUUUAUUAAGUUAGUUGUUAAAUCGCUCGGCUUAACCGGGCAAUCGCGAUUAAAACUGAUAAGCUAGAGUGUGGGAGAGAAAGGUAGAAUUCUCGGAGUAGCGAAAAUGCGUAGAUCUCGAGAGGAAUACCGGUUGCGAAGGCGGCCUUUUGGCCCACCACUGACGCUGGAGCGCGAAAGCGUGGGGAGCAAACAGGAUUAGAUACCCUAGUAGUCC